rnacentral:rRNA from 1 species
UCGCCUGCACUCUGGGAUAAGCCUGGGAAACUGGGUCUAAUACCGGAUAGGACCAUGCUUUAGUGUGUGUGGUGGAAAGUUUUUUCGGUGUAGGAUGAGCCCGCGGCCUAUCAGCUUGUUGGUGGGGUAAUGGCCUACCAAGGCGGCGACGGGUAGCCGGACUGAGAGGUUGGUCGGCCACAUUGGGACUGAGAUACGGCCCAG